GUUGAUAAGGUUAAGUGAAUAAGGGCGCACGGUGGAUGCCUUGGCACUAGGAGCCGAUGAAGGACGGGACUAACACCGAUAUGCUUUGGGGAGCUGUAAGUAAGCUAUGAUCCAGAGAUUUCCGAAUGGGGGAACCCAAUAUCUUUUAUAGGAUAUUACUUUUCAGUGAAUACAUAGCUGAUUAGAGGUAGACGCAGAGAACUGAAACAUCUUAGUACCUGCAGGAAGAGAAAGAAAAUUCGAUUCCCUGAGUAGCGGCGAGCGAAACGGGAAGAGCCCAAACCAACAAGCUUGCUUGUUGGGGUUGUAGGACUCCGAUAUGGUAGUCUGUUAGUAUAGUUGAAGGAUUUGGAAAAUUCCGCUAAAGAGGGUGAAAGCCCCGUAGACGAAAUGCUGACAACACCUAGGAGGAUCCUGAGUACGGCGGAACACGAGAAAUUCCGUCGGAAUCCGCGGGGACCAUCCCGCAAGGCUAAAUACUCCCUAGUGACCGAUAGUGAACCAGUACCGUGAGGGAAAGGUGAAAAGCACCCCGGAAGGGGAGUGAAAUAGAUCCUGAAACCGUGUGCCUACAACAAGUCAAAGCUCGUUAAUGAGUGAUGGCGUGCCUUUUGUAGAAUGAACCGGCGAGUUACGAUUGCAUGCGAGGUUAAGUCGAAGAGACGGAGCCGCAGCGAAAGCGAGUCUGAAUAGGGCGAAUGAGUAUGUAGUCGUAGACCCGAAACCAUGUGAUCUACCCAUGUCCAGGUUGAAGGUGCGGUAAAACGCACUGGAGGACCGAACCCACGUACGUUGAAAAGUGCGGGGAUGAGGUGUGGGUAGCGGAGAAAUUCCAAACGAACUUGGAGAUAGCUGGUUCUCUCCGAAAUAGCUUUAGGGCUAGCCUCGGAAUUGAGAAUGAUGGAGGUAGAGCACUGUUUGGACUAGGGGCCCAUCUCGGGUUACCGAAUUCAGAUAAACUCCGAAUGCCAUUCAUUUAUAUCCGGGAGUCAGACUGCGAGUGAUAAGAUCCGUAGUCGAAAGGGAAACAGCCCAGACCACCAGCUAAGGUCCCAAAAUAUAUGUUAAGUGGAAAAGGAUGUGGGGUUGCACAGACAACUAGGAUGUUGGCUUAGAAGCAGCCACCAUUUAAAGAGUGCGUAAUAGCUCACUAGUCGAGUGACCCUGCGCCGAAAAUGUACCGGGGCUAAACAUAUUACCGAAGCUGUGGACUACACCAUUAGGUGUAGUGGUAGGAGAGCGUUCUAAGGGCGUUGAAGGUCGAUCGUGAGGACGGCUGGAGCGCUUAGAAGUGAGAAUGCCGGUAUGAGUAGCGAAAGACAGGUGAGAAUCCUGUCCACCGUAUGACUAAGGUUUCCUGGGGAAGGCUCGUCCGCCC
rnacentral:rRNA from 2 species